GAUGAAGAACGUAGCGAAAUGCGAUAAGUAAUGUGAAUUGCAGAAUUCAGUGAAUCAUCGAAUCUUUGAACGCACAUUGCGCCCGCCAGUAUUCUGGCGGGCAUGCCUGUUCGAGCGUCAUUACAACCCUCAGGCCACCGGGCCUGGCGUUGGGGAUCGGCGGAGCCCCCCGUGGGCACACGCCGUCCCCCAAAUGCAGUGGCGGUCCCGCCGCAGCUUCCAUCGCGUAGUAGCUAACACCUCGCGACUGGAGAGCGGCGCGGCCACGCCGUAAAACACCCAACUCUUCUGAAGUUGACCUCGAAUCAGGUAGGAAUACCCGCUGAACUUAAGCAUAUCAAUAAGCGGAGGA
rnacentral:misc_RNA from 1 species